rnacentral:rRNA from 1 species
ACAGAGGUGCCAAGCGUUACCCGGAUUUAUUGGGCGUAAAGGGCGCGUAGGCGGCCACCGCAAGUCGACUGUGAAAUCUCCGGGCUUAACCCGGAAAGGUCAGCCGAUACUGCGGGGCUAGAGUGCAGAAGGGGCAACUGGAAUUCUCGGUGUAGCGGUGAAAUGCGUAGAUAUCGAGAGGAACACCUGCGGCGAAGGCGGGUUGCUGGGCUGACACUGACGCUGAGGCGCGAAAGCGUGGGGAGCAAACAGGA